CCUACGGGUGGCAGCAGUGAGGAAUAUUGGUCAAUGGGCGAAAGCCUGAACCAGCCAUGUCGCGUGAGGGAGUACUGCCCUAUGGGUUGUAAACCUCUUUUGUCGGGGAGCAAAAGCCGGACGUGUCCGGCUGUGAGAGUACCCGAAGAAAAAGCAUCGGCUAACUCCGUGCCAGCAGCCGCGGUAAUACGGAGGAUGCGAGCGUUAUCCGGAUUUAUUGGGUUUAAAGGGUGCGCAGGCGGAUUUUUAAGUCAGCGGUAAAAUCGUGGGGCUCAACCCCAUCCAGCCGGUGAGAUUGGGGAGCUAGAGUGCGCGUGCGGUAGGAGGAAUGUGUGGUGUAGCGGUGAAAUGCAUAGAUAUCACGCAGAACACCGAUUGCGAAGGCAGCAUAC
rnacentral:rRNA from 1 species